GUGUGAAUUUUGCAUUUCUGAAACGCUUUUGAUGUGAUUUGAAAGUAGAGGGAUUUAUGUUUCUAAACCGCAAUUGAGAAUAAUUUCUCGUGUAGAUGGAGCCAAUUCGCCUUUUAAACAGAACAUGUCGUCCUUGGACUAAGGAGUAAAGCAACGUUAGGCUCCUUUAGUCCUUUUGAGCAUGCUAGAUCAUUAGCACUGGUGGUACAGUUGCCUCUGUCUUCCAUACACACCACACGCUGUGACAUGGAGAUAUGGCCGUGUGGAAACACACUAACCCUAACAAAGAUGUACAAGCUACUUCCUGGAGACCCGGAGCGUCACACAGCAACCAUCUCCAUGGUGACAACAAUUGGGGGGAGCUGGUGUUUGGUCCAUGCUCGAGAGGCAACUGACCUUAAACAUAGAUAUUACAAAAAAUAUGAAUCAUCUUCAUUUGAGCCAAAGCUCGCACAGUCAUGAAAAUAGCCUGUAUUAACUGUUAUUAUUAGCCUUACAUGCCCUGUAGUCAAGGUUCGGUAUAGCUCAUUUGAUAGUUUACUUUUGUUAGUCAAUGGGUAGUUGGGUGCAUGCCAGCAACUGGACUGGAGGUCCAGUAUUGUUUACUAGGAUCUUGCCGGUAGAUGUUGAUUUAAGCCCACUAGAACUGGCCGUAUAUUGAGAUGCUAAUUUGGAACCUCUCCCUGGAACUACACUAAAUAUUUCAUACCUGUAUGUUCAUGUCAUUCAUGACCUAAAACAUCAUGCUACAUCUCGAUCAAUUUUAGUGGUAGCGAUUUCUGCAAUGAAAGAUUUCGCUAGUCCCUAGGGAAGCAUGCUUGGUGUAGUUUUACAAUAAAAGCGACAUUACUGAAA